rnacentral:rRNA from 1 species
CCUACGGGAGGCAGCAGCCAGUAGGGAAUAUUGGUCAAUGGAUGGAAGUCUGAACCAGCCAUGCCGCGUGCAGGAAGAAGGCCUUCUGGGUUGUAAACUGCUUUUGCCAGGGGCUAAAAAGCUCAUGCGUGAGAAAUUGAAAGUACCUGGUGAAUAAGCCACGGCUAACUACGUGCCAGCAGCCGCGGUAAU